AGUGAACGCUGGCGGUAGGCCUAACACAUGCAAGUCGAACGGCAGCACAGUAAGAGCUUGCUCUUACGGGUGGCGGGUGGCGGGCGGGUGAGGAAUACAUCGGAAUCUACUUUUUCGUGGGGGAUAACGUAGGGAAACUUACGCUAAUACCGCAUACGACCUACGGGUGAAAGCAGGGGUUCUUCGGACCUUGCGCGUUUGAAUGAGCCGAUGUCGGAUUAGCUAGUUGGCGGGGUAAAGGCACACCAAGGCGACGAUCCGUAGCUGGUCUGAGAGGAUGAUCAGCCACACUGGAACUGAGACACGGUCCAGACUCCUACGGGAGGCAGCAGUGGGGAAUAUUGGACAAUGGGCGCAAGCCUGAUCCAGCCAUGCCGCGUGGGUGAAGAAGGCCUUCGGGUUGUAAAGCCCUUUUGUUGGGAAAGAAAAGCAGCAGGUUAAUACCCCGCUGUUCUGACGGUACCCAAAGAAUAAGCACCGGCUAACUUCGUG
rnacentral:rRNA from 1 species